rnacentral:rRNA from 1 species
GACUACGGCCGUGUCACCCUGAAUGAGCCCGAUGUCUGAUCUUGGAAGCUAAGCAGGGUCGGGCCUGGUUAGUACUUGGAUGGGAGGCCACCUAGGAAGACCAGAUGCUGCAGGCA